rnacentral:rRNA from 1 species
CCGGAAGGGGAGUGAAACAGUUCCUGAAACCGUGUGCCUACAAGUAGUUAGAGCCCGUUAAUGGGUGAUAGCGUGCCUUUUGUAGAAUGAACCGGCGAGUUACGAUUUGUUGCAAGGUUAAGCGGAAAAAGCGGAGCCGUAGCGAAAGCGAGUCUGAAUAGGGCGCAUAAGUAACAGGUCGUAGACCCGAAACCAGGUGAUCUACCCAUGUCCAGGAUGAAGGUAAGGUAAUACUUACUGGAGGUCCGAACCCACGCACGUUGAAAAGUGCGGGGAUGAGGUGUGGGUAGCGGAGAAAUUCCAAUCGAACUUGGAGAUAGCUGGUUCUCUCCGAAAUAGCUUUAGGGCUAGCCUCGAGGUAAAGAGUCAUGGAGGUAG